CUUGCUGUGUGCAACUCUGCAGUAAAGUGUCUCCUACCUCAGCAGAAAAGUUAUCACGGGAGACAAUGUCAACUUUACGGAGGGGGAGGGCCCUUCACACGGCUCCGUUCCCGCCUGCAACAGCCUCCGCCUCUCUUUUAUGUGUCAGAGCUGCAGAUGCUGAUGUCCUUUCUCCCAAAUGCUGCUUUGUCAGCCGGAGCUGUCAGCGAGCCCUGGUCUCCCUCUCUGACACUUGCCACCACCCUCACCUGUGUGUCGCCGGAGGGUUGAAGGGCUCAGAAGACAUCAAAACCUGCUGUUGCUCUGGCCAGUGCCUCGGAGAUGAUGAUGUAGUCCCUAUGUGGGCCGCAGAAAGCACUUCGAGCCGUGCUGGAGUCGUGCUGGGUGGCUCUGAUAGCAGAGCUAAUGGGAGCGAAUGGGAUGCAACGAACUGUUCUAAUGACACCAGCCAGGGAAGAGACAACAUAAAUCAAUAAAUAUCAAAUAAUCUCUCUUCCUGAAGUGCCAUGAGAUAGCUUCUUGGAAAGUGUGCAAGGUGAGAAAUCAGAGGAUCCCCAUCUCUACUGAACUACUCUGGGAUGCAGCAGGAAUAACUCCACGGGAUUUCUACAAGCAGAGCUGCACCCAUGUGUUCAGGAAUAAGGAAUGGGAGAAAUGAAAAAUGGACAGGAAUGAAAUGGGGAGAUGGAGAAAAAAAGAUCUUCAUGUUCUCCGCGCUGGAGAGGGGCUGCACAUGCAGGACUCACCCUCUGUGAGGCUCCACUGAUCCUGACAGGAUCACACUGCUGUGAUUUUGCUCUGACCAAGCUAAAAGCAGCAUCUGGGUGACUCUGUGACAUUGCUGGGGAUAAAGUGGUGCCCUGAAACUCUUCAGCAUCCCUUGGCCAAGAUGCAGGCAACAAAGAUGUGGGGCCACUGCUCAAACAAGAGAAGAAGGGACUGUAAGAGGAAGCCAGAGGAGGGUGAUGCUGACUUUUGCCAGCGGCCUGUGAUCGAUUUCUUUAUCUGCUUUGCACGAGUGUGAAGACACCAAGACACAGAGAUGGGAGUGGCCUCACUCAAGGUCACACUGCACAAAUUAGCAUGGCAAGAGUCACUCAUCAGUUGCUGUGAGGAAUAGCAGAGGAAGAUGUGGUCCAGCAUUAUAUGUUGCACUACCAUCAUGGCACUGUCUUUCAAAUCCAUUCUGAGAUCACCAAAUCCUCUUGCCAUCUCUGACAAGCAGAAGAAACAGAGGCUGGUCCAAACUGACUUCUGGUGCUACAGACACUGAAGUCCUUGCAAAGGGAGAAACUUGGGAUGUCACUGGCUGAAGAUACCCCAGGUUACCGUGAAGAUAUUAGAAAUCGAGGCACAUGCAUAUUGUGGCUGUUUUUCCUGACCUUGGGGUCACAUGUAAGGAAACAAUUGGUGGGAAAGCAAAGGGGUAAAGAAAAGUUAUUCCUCUGGGGCCCUGACAGAAGGAAUAAGAAUGUGGGGGCACCUGGGGUGGCCAUGGAACAAAAAACCUGAAACAUCUUUUCGCCCAUUUGUUCUCCAUUUUCCACUCUGUGGGUCCUGCUCCCCUCUUUCCUCUCCCUCCCCCAGCUUGCCUGGUGAUUCAGGAAGAAGAGGCCAAGGAGAGUAAUAUUGUGCUGGAGAUAGGACUGGAAGGGCAGUAAUUUAGACUCAGAGGCUUAUAGUAUUAUUGCCUGCAAAGCCAUUCAUGGGAAAUGAUUCCACCCAUCCCCAUUCCGCUCCCCCCCCCAUCCCGCUCUCCUUGCUCUGCAAUAACAAUAACAGAAAUGCCUUCAGGAGGCUUUUCUACUCAAAAUGCAGGCAAAGGAGCACUUUUCUCCACCACCCCUCUUCUUUCCCUUCUCUUCUCCCUGCACUCACUUGUCCCCCCUGCCUCUAAGCCUAACUGCUGCUCCCUCCCUUCUCACUCCCCCCCCACGGGAUAAAAAAAUAAAAAUAAUAAUAGGGGUAAUAAGAGAGGAGGUAAUGGAACGUUCUCCAACUGGGCACAUGUCAGAAGCCAUUAUAUGUGGUGCAGAUUUGCAUAAUUCAAGAAGCAUCAAAUUAAAUUUGCAUAAUUCCUUUGAUUA